GGGCCCGCACAAGCGGUGGAGCAUGUGGUUUAAUUCGAUGCAACGCGCAGAACCUUACCAGCUCUUGACAUGGGAAGUAUGGGGACAAGAGAUUGUCUUCUUCAGUUCGGCUGGCUUCCACACAGGUGCUGCAUGGCUGUCGUCAGCUCGUGUCGUGAGAUGUUGGGUUAAGUCCCGCAACGAGCGCAACCCUCACCUUUAGUUGCCAUCAGGUUAUGCUGGGCACUCUAAAGGAACUGCCGGUGACAAGCCGGAGGAAGGCGGGGAUGACGUCAAGUCCUCAUGGCCCUUACGGGCUGGGCUACACACGUGCUACAAUGGUGGUGACAGUGGGAUGCAACGGGGCGACCCCGAGCCGAUCUCCAAAAGCCAUCUCAGUUCAGAUUGCACCCUGCAACUCGGGUGCAUGAAGGUGGAAUCGCUAGUAAUCGCGGAUCAGAAUGCCGCGGUGAAUACGUUCCCGGGCCUU
rnacentral:rRNA from 1 species